UCGGGUUCGGGUUUAGGUUUGGGUUUUCAAGUUUAGGUUUAGGUUUAGGUUAGGGAGUUGAGAUUAGGAUUUGGUGUAGGUUUAGGUUUAGGGAUUUGAGAAUAGGUUAAGGUUUCGGUUUAGGAAAUCGGGUUCGGGUUCGGGAUCGGGUUUAGGCUUGGGUUUUCAAGUUUAGGUUUAGGUUUAGGUUUAGGUUAGGGAGUUGAGAUUAGGGUUAGGUGUAGGUUUAGGUUUAGGGAUUUGAGAAUAGGUUAAGGUUUAGGUUUAGGAGAUCAGGGUCGGGUUCGGGAUCGGGUUUAGGCUUGGGUUUUCAUGUUUAGGUUUAGGUUAAGUAGUUGAGAUUAGAACUAGGUGUAAGUUUAGGUUUAAGGAUUUGAGAAUACAUUUAGGUUUUAGGUUUAGGUUUAGGUUUUAGGUUUAGGUUAUAGGUUAUAGGUUAGCUUUAGGGAACUAAGAAUAGGUUAAGGUUUAGGUUUAGGAAAUCAGGUUUGGGUUCAAGAUCGGGUUUAGGUUUGGGUUUUCAAGUUUAGGUUUAGGUUUAGGUUAGGGAGUUGAAAUU